rfam:Gossypium raimondii Chr13_contig_339, whole genome shotgun sequence.
UGUUAAAAAUUUUCAUCCAUUUGUACUGUUAAAGACUGCCGUAGUUGACGAAAUUAAUUGAUCAAAGAGUAACAUAUGGCAUGCCACGUGCACCUCAUGUUGAGGUACAUAAAUCAGUUUUAACAGUAGAAAUGAAUGAAAUUUUUAACA